UUUGCUCCGAUAGACAAAUUGGAUGAAACUAAUUUCAUUGGAAAGAGGAUUUGCAGAGCUUUCCGUUGAUAUAUAGUAGAUUACCCAGAUUAUUAUGUACAAGGAGUUAUGAUCAUUUAAAGUUGUAGCAAAAAUACGCCAGGCCUCAGUACUUCUUCCUGCACGUUUUACUAUUCACUACUAUUCACAGUUCGAUCGGAAUGUUCAUAACUAGUCACUCGGG
rnacentral:lncRNA from 1 species